GCCAGAUGAAUCCGAGGCUCCAGGGGCUCUCCGAAGGAACAAGGAAAGCUGAGUCCGUGUGUCGGAGGCAAACUGUCCAGGAUGCUGCCCAAUUUUUACCAGCUCAUUAAAUUUAUGCUUAUUUGAAGAACACUUGGCAAAUAAAAGUAUAUAUAUUUAA